rnacentral:rRNA from 1 species
GUGGGGAAUCUUCCGCAAUGGGCGAAAGCCUGACGGAGCAACGCCGCGUGAGUGAAGACGGCCUUCGGGUUGUAAAGCUCUGUUAUAUGGGACGAACGGGUGUAUGGUCAAUACCCAUACGCCGUGACGGUACCGUAAGAGAAAGCCACGGCUAACUACGUGCCAGCAGCCGCGGUAAUACGUAGGUGGCAAGCGUUGUCCGGAAUCAUUGGGCGUAAAGGGCGCGCAGGCGGUUCGGUAAGUCGGUCGUAAAAGUGCGGGGCUUAACCCCGUGAUGGGAUUGAAACUGCCGGACUGGAGUGUCGGAGAGGAAAGCAGAAUUCCUAGUGUAGCGGUGAAAUGCGUAGAUAUUAGGAGGAAUACCAGUGGCGAAAGCGGCUUUCUGGACGACAACUGACGCUGAGGCGCGAAAGCCAGGGGAGCAAACGGGAUUAGAUACCCCGGUAGUCC